rnacentral:rRNA from 1 species
UACCAGCUCUCCGAGUGGUAGGGAUGAUUAUUGGGCUUAAAGCGUCCGUAGCCGGCUUAGCAAGUCUCCCGUUAAAUUCAGCGACCUAAUCGUUGAGCCGCGGGAGAUACUACUAGGCUAGGAGGCGGGAGAGGUCGACGGUACUUCCGGGGUAGGGGUGAAAUCCUAUAAUCCCGGGAGGACCACCAGUGGCGAAGGCUGUCGACUAGAACGCGCUCGACGGUGAGGGACGAAAGCUGGGGGAGCGAACCGGAUUAGAUACCCGGGUAGUCCCAGCUGUAAACGAUGCGGGCUAGGUGUUGGGGUGGCUACGUGCCACUUCAGUGCCGCAGGGAAGCCAUUAAGCCCGCCGCCUGGGGAGUACGGCCGCAAGGCUGAAACUUAAAGGAAUUGGCGGGGGAGCACCACAAGGCGUGAAGCUUGCGGUUC